AUUGAACGCUGGCGGCAGACUUAACACAUGCAAGUCGAGCGGAGAUGAGGUGCUUGCACCUUAUCUUAGCGGCGGACGGGUGAGUAAUGCCUAGGAAUCUGCCUAUUAGUGGGGGACAACAUUCCGAAAGGAAUGCUAAUACCGCAUACGCCCUACGGGGGAAAGCAGGGGAUCUUCGGACCUUGCGCUAAUAGAUGAGCCUAAGUCGGAUUAGCUAGUUGGUGGGGUAAAGGCCUACCAAGGCGACGAUCUGUAGCGGGUCUGAGAGGAAGAACCGCCACACUGGGACUGAGACACGGCCCAGACUCCUACGGGAGGCAGCAGUGGGGAAUGUUGGACAAGGGGCGCAAGCCUGAUCCAGCCAUGCCGCGUGCAGGAUGAAGGCCUUCGGGUUGUAAAGCACUUUCAGUAGGGAGGAAGGGUGUUGUGUUAAUAGCGCAGCAUUUUGACGUUACCUACAGAAGAAGCACCGGCUAACUCUGUGCCAGCAGCCGCCGUAAGAC
rnacentral:rRNA from 1 species